rnacentral:lncRNA from 1 species
GCGAGGCAGCCCCCGAGCCUCCACUCAAGCCAAUUAAGGAGGACUCGGUCCACUCCGUUACGUGUACAUCCAACAAGAUCGGCGUUAAGGUUCUUUUUCUUCAGGAUCAGGCACAGAGACUGACUGAAUGGCUCCAAUUAUCAGGAUUUGAAAACCCAGUAUCAGAAUCUACCACUUUGUGCCUGAGGGAGAGGGAAAAGCGGAUACCCACCUGUGUCGCUGUUUGCGUGCCAAGUCCAGGAACAGUCCAUACAGCCCUGCUGCAUCCCACGACGCUGUCACAAAGCAGGAGUUCAUCCGAGGCCAAGAUGGAGAAACUGAGGCCCAGAAAUUGAUGUCCAGAAUGCUUUGCUCUUAGCCACUGUACUAUUAUGGCAUAUUUUAUCUUUAUGUAUUGCAUCAUUUCAUGGAUUCAAGUUUAUCAAUGUCCUUUGACAAGUUUAAAAAUCUGUCUGCUAAAAUCUAUCCAAUACAUUAAGGAAAAGUCCCACUUGGCACAUCUCCCACACCAGAUGUUAAUUAUUCAUACUGCAUGACUGAGGAUUUUGGAGGCAGAGAGAGAUUCAUCUGCAAUAUUUGGAACACCAAUGGAGGUCUACGUCAACACAGAAUUUAUACAGCAGCUGGUGCUAGUCAGAGCUAAUGACAGAAUUUCAGUUUAAUAAAAAGACCCCCAACUGAGCACACCAUCUUGAAAAAAGUAUACUUAUCAAACAGCUUUCAAUCAGUUCAAGAGAGACACCUUAAUUGGGGAGAGGAAGAAUUGCAGAGUAGUUUGUAAUCAUGCCAAUUCCAGAUCAAUAACUGCAUGUCUGUUCUUUGGUAGAAAUAGCUUUUGCUUUAUAUUAAGUAAUCACAUAUAUAUUCUCUCUAUUUGGAUAAGGAAACCUUCGCUUUAUUUGACAAUGUAUAAUGAUAUACUCUUCUAAUUCACCUCUGUGUCUUCACAAUAAACAUGAGUAAAAUUUAGACAAGUGAUGGUAAAGGUCAAUAUAAUUAUUUAUUUUUAAAAUAAAUUUUGUAUCUAACAGGAAAGCAGUUCUUAUGAAAUUUUUAUAUUUUCAAAAAUUGUUUUGUUCAAAUAAAAUUUUAUGAGUAAAGUUAAA